UGGGGAAUAUUGCACAAUGGGCGCAAGCCUGAUGCAGCCAUGCCGCGUGUAUGAAGAAGGCCUUCGGGUGGUAAAGUACUUUCAGCGGGGAGGAAGGGAGUAAAGUUAAUACCUUUGCUCAUUGACGUUACCCGCAGAAGAAGCACCGGCUAACUCCGUGCCAGCAGCCGCGGUAAUACGGAGGGUGCAAGCGUUAAUCGGAAUUACUGGGCGUAAAGCGCACGCAGGCGGUUUGUUAAGUCAGAUGUGAAAUCCUCGGGCUCAACCUGGGAACUGCAUCUGAUACUGGCAAGCUUGAGUCUCGUAGAGGGGGGUAGAAUUCCAGGUGUAGCGGUGAAAUGCGUAGAGAUCUGGAGGAAUACCGGUGGCGAAGGCGGCCCCCUGGACGAAGACUGACGCUCAGGUGCGAAAGCGUGGGGAGCAAACAGG
rnacentral:rRNA from 1 species